rnacentral:rRNA from 1 species
CCUACGGGUGGCUGCAGUGGGGAAUAUUGCACAAUGGGCGCAAGCCUGAUGCAGCCAUGCCGCGUGUGUGAAGAAGGCCUUCGGGUUGUAAAGCACUUUCAGCGGGGAGGAAGGCGGUGAGGUUAAUAACCUCAUCGAUUGACGUUACCCGCAGAAGAAGCACCGGCUAACUCCGUGCCAGCAGCCGCGGUAAUACGGAGGGUGCAAGCGUUAAUCGGAAUUACUGGGCGUAAAGCGCACGCAGGCGGUCUGUCAAGUCGGAUGUGAAAUCCCCGGGCUCAACCUGGGAACUGCAUUCGAAACUGGCAGGCUAGAGUCUUGAAGAGGGGGGUAGAAUUCCAGGUGUAGCGGUGAAAUGCGUAGAGAUCUGGAGGAAUACCGGUGGCGAAGGCGGCCCCCUGGACAAAGACUGACGCUCAGGUGCGAAAGCGUGGGGAGCAAACAGGAUUAGAUACCCGGGUAGUC